UACGUAGGGGGCAAGCGUUGUCCGGAAUCAUUGGGCGUAAAGAGCGCGUAGGCGGUCCAGUAAGUCCGCUCUGAAAGUCCGGGGCUCAACCCCGGGAGGCGGGCGGAUACUGCUGGGCUAGAGUCCGGAAGAGGCGAGUGGAAUUCCUGGUGUAGCGGUGAAAUGCGUAGAUAUCUGGAGGAACACCGGUGGCGAAGGCGGCAUUCUGGACUGUAACUGACACUGAGAGACGAAAGCCAGGGGAGCAAACGGG
rnacentral:rRNA from 1 species